rnacentral:rRNA from 1 species
UACGUAGGGGGCAAGCGUUGUCCGGAAUCAUUGGGCGUAAAGCGCGCGUAGGCGGCCAGAUAAGUCCGGUGUGAAAGUCACAGGCUCAACCCUGUGAAUGCCGCCUGGAAACUGUCUGGCUUGAGUCCGGAAGGGGCGAGUGGAAUUCCUGGUGUAGCGGUGAAAUGCGCAGAUAUCAGGAGGAACACCAAUGGCGAAGGCAGCUCGCUGGAACGGUACUGACGCUGAGGCGCGAAAGCGUGGGGAGCGAACAGG